rnacentral:rRNA from 1 species
UACGUAGGGCGCAAGCGUUAUCCGGAAUUAUUGGGCGUAAAGAGCUCGUAGGCGGUUUGUCGCGUCUGCCGUGAAAGUCCGGGGCUCAACUCCGGAUCUGCGGUGGGUACGGGCAGACUAGAGUGAUGUAGGGGAGACUGGAAUUCCUGGUGUAGCGGUGAAAUGCGCAGAUAUCAGGAGGAACACCGGUGGCGAAGGCGGUUCUCUGGGCCUUACCUGACGCUGAGGAGCGAAAGCGUGGGAGCGAACAGG